rnacentral:rRNA from 1 species
GAUGAACGCUGGCGGCGUGCCUAAUACAUGCAAGUCGAGCGAACAGAUAAGGAGCUUGCUCCUUUGACGUUAGCGGCGGACGGGUGAGUAACACGUGGGUAACCUACCUAUAAGACUGGGAUAACUUCGGGAAACCGGAGCUAAUACCGGAUAACAUUUGGAACCGCAUGGUUCUAAAGUGAAAGAUGGUUUUGCUAUCACUUAUAGAUGGACCCGCGCCGUAUUAGCUAGUUGGUAAGGUAACGGCUUACCAAGGCAACGAUACGUAGCCGACCUGAGAGGGUGAUCGGCCACACUGGAACUGAGACACGGUCCAGCCUCCUACGGGAGGCAGCAGUAGGGAAUCUUCCGCAAUGGGCGAAAGCCUGACGGAGCAACGCCGCGUGAGUGAUGAAGGGUUUCGGCUCGUAAAACUCUGUGAUUAGGGAAGAACAAAUGUGUAAGUAACUGUGCACGUCUUGACGGUACCUAAUCAGAAAGCCACGGCUAUCUACGUG